AACGAACGCUGGCGGCAUGCCUAACACAUGCAAGUCGAACGAUAUCUUCGGGUCUAGUGGCGCACGGGUGCGUAACGCGUGGGAAUCUGCCCUUUGGUCCGGAAUUACAGUUGGAAACGACUGCUAAUAUCGGAUGAUGACGAAAGUCCAAAGAUUUAUCGCCAGAGGAUGAGCCCGCGUAGGAUUAGCUAGUUGGUGUGGUUAAGGCGCACUAAGGCGACGAUCCUUAGCUGGUCUGAGAGGAAGAUCAGCCACAAUGGGACUGAGACACGUACCAGACACCUACGGGAGGCAGCAGUGGGGAAUAUUGGACAAUGGGCGAAAGCCUGAUCCAGCAAUGCCGCGUGAGUGAUGAAGGCCUUAGGGUUGUAAAGCUCUUUUACCCGUGAUGAUAAUGACAGUACCGGGAGAAUAAGCUCCGGCUAACUCCGUGCCAGCCGCCGCCGUAA
rnacentral:rRNA from 1 species